rnacentral:rRNA from 1 species
GAUGAACGCUGGCGUCGUGCCUAAUACAUGCAAGUCGAGCGAACGGACGAGAAGCUUGCUUCUCUGAUGUUAGCGGCGGACGGGUGAGUAACACGUGGAUAACCUACCUAUAAGACUGGGAUAACUUCGGGAAACCGGAGCUAAUACCGGAUAAUACUUUGAACCGCAUGGUUCAAAAGUGAAAGACGGUCUUGCUGUCACUUAUAGAUGGAUCCGCGCUGCAUUAGCUAGUUGGUAAGGUAACGGCUUACCAAGGCAACGAUGCAUAGCCGACCUGAGAGGGUGAUCGGCCACACUGGAACUGAGACACGGUCCAGACUCCUACGGGAGGCAGCAGUAGGGAAUCUUCCGCAAUGGGCGAAAGCCUGACGGAGCAACGCCGCGUGAGUGAUGAAGGUCUUCGGAUCGUAAAACUCUGUUAUUAGGGAAGAACAUAUGUGUAAGUAACUGUGCACAUCUUGACGGUACCUAAUCAGAAAGCCACGGCUAACUACGUGCCAGCAGCCGCGGUAAUACGUAGGUGGCAAGCGUUAUCCGGAAUUAUUGGGCGUAAAGCGCGCGUAGGCGGUUUUUUAAGUCUGAUGUGAAAGCCCACGGCUCAACCGUGGAGGGUCAUUGGAAACUGGAAAACUUGAGUGCAGAAGAGGAAAGUGGAAUUCCAUGUGUAGCGGUGAAAUGCGCAGAGAUAUGGAGGAACACCAGUGGCGGAGGCGACUUUCUGGUCUGUAACUGACGCUGAUGUGCGAAAGCGUGGGGAUCAAACAGGAUUAGAUACCCUGGUAGUCCACGCCGUAAACGAUGAGUGCUAAGUGUUAGGGGGUUUCCGCCCCUUAGUGCUGCAGCUAACGCAUUAAGCACUCCGCCUGGGGAGUACGACCGCAAGGUUGAAACUCAAAGGAAUUGACGGGGACCCGCACAAGCGGUGGAGCAUGUGGUUUAAUUCGAAGCAACGCGAAGAACCUUACCAAAUCUUGACAUCCUUUGACAACUCUAGAGAUAGAGCCUUCCCCUUCGGGGGACAAAGUGACAGGUGGUGCAUGGUUGUCGUCAGCUCGUGUCGUGAGAUGUUGGGUUAAGUCCCGCAACGAGCGCAACCCUUAAGCUUAGUUGCCAUCAUUAAGUUGGGCACUCUAAGUUGACUGCCGGUGACAAACCGGAGGAAGGUGGGGAUGACGUCAAAUCAUCAUGCCCCUUAUGAUUUGGGCUACACACGUGCUACAAUGGACAAUAUAAAGGGCAGCGAAACCGCGAGGUCAAGCAAAUCCCAUAAAGUUGUUCUCAGUUCGGAUUGUAGUCUGCAACUCGACUACAUGAAGCUGGAAUCGCUAGUAAUCGUAGAUCAGCAUGCUACGGUGAAUACGUUCCCGGGUCU